CUGUAAUAAUUAAUUUAAGUGCAAAAAGUAUUUUUUUAAGAGGUUGUGAAUAGACGUCCACUGACGUCUUUUACACGUCUAGACUAGACUAGUAGGAAAAAAACAGAAUUAUCUUUAUGAAAUACACGAUUUGUAUACAAAGUAAAUAUAUUAACUUUAUCUUGUUUAAAAAAAUUAUAAUCACAAAGUGCCCAGUGUGAUUGCAAAGCCACAAUACAUUUUAGUCAUUAUUUCAACCUGCUUUAUUAUUAAAUGUAUGCAUAUAAAUGUAAAGAAAGUAUAUAUCCGGUUACCAUUUAGGUCUGAGUUGGAUGUAAUUUCAAAACUGCGCUGCCAAGAAUGUUUAAACAAAAUAUUUUACAAAAUCGCGCGAUAGGAUAGAUUUUCUCGCGAGAUAGUUGUCACGUCACACGUUCUCCCGGAAGUACGUCGUGUGCAGCCAGCAAGCCACGACGAGAGGGUGAAUUUAUGAAGGAGUUGUGUCUAUAUAUUAUAUAAAACCUACUAUUGGUUGAAGAUCAACACAAACCAAAUGAAGAUGUUGUCGAUUCUACAAACAAUAAAAAAGAAGAUCAAGUUUUGUGUCCAACACACUUGGAUGAGACGUGCCUGACUUUGUCUACCCUACAUUAAAGGAGUAGUCCACUUUAAAAAUGGGGUCCAUUGACUUUUCAUAGUAGGACAUAAAAAUACUAUGGUAAGUCAAUGGGCCCCAUCUUUAAAGUGGACUACUCCUGUAAGUUGUAAGUUUUUGACUGCUUUGCUUAAUACCACAGAUAAUAAUCAUGCUUUCAAAAAAUAAUUGUAUAUAUUUUGAUAUGAAACUAAAAAAUGUAUAUAAAUUGUUUUGGUGUUUUUUUUUGUUUACACAGGUGAUGGCACACACAUUAUGACAGUAAACAUCGGUAUCAAGAUGGUGUGAUUGAUCUAUACCCUAGAAUAAGCUGUGACACUGAUGCUGUGUACGUGCUACUGAUGCUUUUUUUGUGCAUUCCCACACUAUACAAACACAUUGCUUGGCUCCAAAUUGCAUACAGUUCCAUCUUUAUAAUCUCAUUCUCAUUUAUAGGUAAAAAUGUAUUCCAUGAGUCAGUGUUUUGCCUAAAUGUCAACAUAAUAUCCCAAACUUUGAUAUAAAAAGUGAUUUAUUUUAAUAUUUUACACUACUAUGUAUUUUUUAAAAUACAUUGUGCAUGUGUAUGUUUAUUGUACUUAAUGAAAUUACAUG